GGAUUCGGAGCGAGUGGCGAACUGGUGAGUAACACGUGGGUAACCUGCCCCGAAGCGGGGGAUAACAUUUGGAAACAAGUGCUAAUACCGCAUAAUUAGUUGGAACCGCAUGGUUCCAACUUGAAAGAUGGCUCUGCUAUCACUUUGGGAUGGACCCGCGCCGUAUUAGUUAGUUGGUGAGAUAAAAGCCCACCAAGACGAUGAUACGUAGCCGACCUGAGAGGGUAAUCGGCCACAUUGGGACUGAGACACGGCCCAGACUCCUACGGGAGGCAGCAGUAGGGAAUCUUCCACAAUGGACGAAAGUCUGAUGGAGCAACGCCGCGUGAGUGAUGAAGGUUUUCGGAUCGUAAAACUCUGUUGUUAAAGAAGAACAAGUGUUAGAGUAACUGUUAACACUUUGACGGUAUUUAACCAGAAAGCCACGGCUAACUACGUGCCAGCAGCCGCGGUAAUACGUAGGUGGCAAGCGUUGUCCGGAUUUAUUGGGCGUAAAGCGAGCGCAGGCGGUUUUGUAAGUCUGCUGUGAAAGCCCUCAGCUCAACUGAGGAAGUGCAGUGGAAACUACAAAACUUGAGUACAGAAGAGGAAAGUGGAACUCCAUGUGUAGCGGUGAAAUGCGUAGAUAUAUGGAAGAACACCAGUGGCGAAGGCGGCUUUCUGGUCUGUUACUGACGCUGAGGCUCGAAAGCAUGGGUAGCGAACAGGAUUAGAUACCCUGGUAGUCCAUGCCGUAAACGAUGAAUACUAGGUGUUGGAGGGUUUCCGCCCUUCAGUGCCGCAGCUAACGCAUUAAGUAUUCCGCCUGGGGAGUACGACCGCAAGGUUGAAACUCAAAGGAAUUGACGGGGGCCCGCACAAGUGGUGGAGCAUGUGGUUUAAUUCGAUGCUACGCGAAGAACCUUACCAGCUCUUGACAUCUUCUGCCAACCCAAGAGAUUGGGCGUUCCCUUCGGGGACAGAAUGACAGGUGGUGCAUGGUUGUCGUCAGCUCGUGUCGUGAGAUGUUGGGUUAAGUCCCGCAACGAGCGCAACCCUUAUUAUUAGUUGCCAGCAUUUAGUUGGGCACUCUAGUGAGACUGCCGGUGAUAAACCGGAGGAAGGUGGGGACGACGUCAAAUCAUCAUGCCCCUUAUGAGCUGGGCUACACACGUGCUACAAUGGAUGGUACAACGAGUCGCGAAACCGCGAGGUCAAGCUAAUCUCUUAAAGCCAUUCUCAGUUCGGAUUGCAGGCUGCAACUCGCCUGCAUGAAGUUGGAAUCACUAGUAAUCGUGGAUCA
rnacentral:rRNA from 2 species